UAAGCAUAUCAAUAAGCGGAGGAAAAGAAACUAACAAGGAUUCCCCUAGUAACUGCGAGUGAAGCGGGAAAAGCUCAAAUUUAAAAUCUGGCGGUCCUUGUGGCCGUCCGAGUUGUAAUCUGGAGAAGUGCUUUCCGCGCUGGACCGUGUACAAGUCUCUUGGAACAGAGCGUCGUAGAGGGUGAGAAUCCCGUCUUUGACACGGACUACCAGUGCUUUGUGAUGCGCUCUCAAAGAGUCGAGUUGUUUGGGAAUGCAGCUCAAAAUGGGUGGUAAAUUCCAUCUAAAGCUAAAUAUUGGCGAGAGACCGAUAGCGAACAAGUACCGUGAGGGAAAGAUGAAAAGAACUUUGGAAAGAGAGUUAAACAGUACGUGAAAUUGCUGAAAGGGAAACGCUUGAAGUCAGUCGCGUUGGCCGGGACUCAGCCUUGCUUCCGCUUGGUUUAUUUUCUGGUCGACGGGUCAGCAUCAGUUUUGAUCGUCGGACAAUGGCUGGGGGAAUGUGGCAUCUUCGGAUGUGUUAUAGCCCUCGGUCGCAUACGAUGGUUGGGACUGAGGAUCUCAGCACACCUUUAUGGUCGGGGUUCGCCCACGUUUGUGCUUAGGAUGCUGGCAUAAUGGCUUUAAACGACCCGUCUUGAAACACGGACCAAGGAGUCUAACAUGCAUGCGAGUGUUUGGGUGGAAAACCCGAGCGCGUAAUGAAAGUGAAAGUUGAGACCUCUGUCGUGGAGGGCAUCGACGCCCGGACCAGACCUUCUGUGACGGCCCUGCGGUAGAGCAUGUAUGUUGGGACCCGAAAGAUGGUGAACUAUGCCUGAAUAGGGUGAAGCCAGAGGAAACUCUGGUGGAGGCUCGUAGCGAUUCUGACGUGCAAAUCGAUCGUCAAAUUUGGGUAUAGGGGCGAAAGACUAAUCGAACCAUCUAGUAGCUGGUUCCUG
rnacentral:rRNA from 2 species